GGCUGGGAGGGAGAGAGUAAGCUGGCUACUCUUGCUACUCAGAAGGAUGGCAUGAGGUGGCCAUGGUCAGUCUGCUACAGCAGCACAACAUCCUCCAUCAUUGUGGGACAGGACUGUGACGACAACAUCCUGGUGUUCAGAGUGGAAUAGUGUGUACAUUUGCUGCUGAGUCGGGACAACGAUGCCGAGGAUGUGGGGGACAAGCAUGACGCAGAAGGAGAGCACCAGCAUUGAUAUCAAGUUUGCCAAGCAACAGCACAAGUCCGGCCUGCAGGAGCCCAAAUACAGAUCCAUCCUUUCCCUCCCCUGAUCCCUAGCUCCUCCCACUGGACCUCCGGCCUCAAAGGGUCAGCAUCAUAAAACAAGUCUGUUCUGCAAUAAAUCCUCAGCACGUAAAGUUUUCAAGCGCUGUUAUGAACAACCAAAAUGUCCGUGUCGAGAUUUCCCCAAGCAAGCCCGAGUAGUUUUGUUAAGCUCUAGUGCCCGAGUGGGAUGAGUGUUACAGAAGCGAAACGUUAUAGCAGUACUUAUGGUAACGCUAAUAGUGAACGCUAACAGUUAGUUCUCGCUGUGGACAUCACGAAGAAUCUCACGAAGAAUUAAACGUUGAAUAAUUUGUUUCAUUCUUUAUAAGACAGCUAUAUAUUCAGCGAGGAACGAGAGCAAAUCAAGGAACAAUCGAAACGAUUCAUUCAGAAGUGUAUCUGCUGUAGAUAGUUAGGACAGUAGUAGCGUUACGGACUGUCCUCAGUGCACAAUAUAUUCAUGUGGUGCGCCUCAGCGGCGAAUUUCGCCCAUUAUUGAAAACAAGUUGCUAAAAGUAAACACGUCCGGUUUUGUUAUGAGCACUUUGCACUCCGAGCCCAAAGGGCAUUGCAUUAAAUUGAGACUAAAGAAGGCUAAAAAACAUGACACCAGUUUUGUUGUAUGAACCAGUACGCCCUUCGACUCUCAACUCGAAGUUAAUCCGAACUCAAACUCGGCCCUUAACAAUAUCCGCGAGGCCAGCAUAUCAGCUCAGCUUCUGAGCUUCAGCAAACACUAUAAGCUGCCAAGAUAAAAACAUCGUUGAAGUCUAAGUCGAUGACAAUCCUGAUCCCUUCGCUUAAGUAAUUGAGCACAAAAACGUCUUGCGUCAGAGUAGCAAGCCUCCAAACAUCUUCUCCCAUGUUGGCUACAUCAACACUUCUUACAGUGGAGCCUUGGCGAGUUUGACUUCCAUCCCAGCAUCGAUGUUGCUUAGUAACAAUUCAAUGCUGGGAAUCGACAAAUUGUUCCAGACGAGUCGCUUAAACAGAAACUAUCUGAUCCAACAGAUAGAGCAGGCGUUGCGUGACUUAUCCCUUAUUGCGACUGACCUCGAUAAGUUGCCCUGGAAUAAUUUGAACCUUAUGCCAGUAUGCAGUUGACACCAUUUAACAACAGUUGUUGUUGAGAAUUCCCGGGUUUGAGGUGGCAACUUUGGUGUCGGGACUCCAUCUCUGUCUAUGGCCCGGUCAAAGCAGCAGCAGCAGCAGCAAUAAGGAAAACAAGUAGUAUCUGAGCGGUGCUCUGGGAUACGGGGUUUCAUGUAUGUGCUUAAAGUGUCAUCCCAGAUUAGCCUGUGCAGACUGCACAUACAUUAAGACAUAUUAAAGUGUCAUCCCAUAUUAGCCUAUGCAGACUGCACCUACAUCAAGUCCUAUUAAAGUGUCAUCCCAGAUUAGCCUGUGCAGACUGCACAUACAUUAAGUCCUAUUAAAGUGUCAUCCCAGAUUAGCCUGUGCAGACUGCACAUACAUUAAGUCCUAUUAAAGUGUCAUCCCAGAUUAGCCUGUACAGACUGCACAUACAUUAAGUCCUAUUAAAGUGUCAUCCAAGAUUAGCCAGUGCAGACUGCACAUACAUUAAGUCCUAUUAAAGUGUCAUCCCAGAUUAGCCUUUGCAGACUGCACAUACAUUAAGCCCAAUUUUCCCAGAAUGAGACUCGUAUACUUCACUUUACAUCAGUAUUUUAUGUGCCUGAAAAGUUCCUAGCAUAAAAUGGGAAUUAUGUGCUUUUGCAUUGAUCACACUUAAUAAAUGAAAUGCAAAUAGCACUUGAUCUGAUAUCAUUUUUAAUCAUAAAAGGUAAGGGCAUUAAGUUUUGUAUAAUUUCAACCAAAAUUCAGCCCCUGAACCAAAAGUUUAUCCUUGCAUAAAAAUCUGCUUUAAUAGAAUUGUUAAAUUAUAUUUAAUUUUAGUAAAAUAAUUAUGUAAAAGCCUGCAGCUCAUUUUAAAAGUCUUUUCAUCAUUUAUUUUCAAUGUUUAUUUAAAUUCUUGGAUUUUGUUUUAAGAGCCUGUUCCUACAGGAACCCAUGCAAUCAUAGAUCGGUACCUAGCUGAACAACAGGCUGUCUAGUCAGCUGGGCCCAGACGCCCAGUGACACUUCCUGGCCCAGGACCUUGGGGCAAAUGCUCAACUAUACCUACCCGCAGGGUGGAGCCACUCUGAACCUGGGGCUCCAUACUUCUUGGCCAGGGGCCAAGAUUACCUUGUCAAUAAGGUACAUGUAGAGGUCUUAUGCUCACAAGUUCAAGCCCAGUAGCGAUGUUCACAUUAUCAAACUCAGCAUCUCAAUAGAAACCCUGAUAUCAAAGCGUUGAGCUUGUUCUUGAAGCAUUUGCACCAGCAACAGUCAUCAUAUCGAGUUACUGGCUUCUCUAUGGUGUGGAACCCUCCGUCUAUGAACAUCAUAACAGAACAUGAACCAGUGGCAGUCAUCAUCUCAAGAUUCUGGUGUAUCCAUGGUGCAGGACCCUCGUUCUGUAAAGGUCAUGCAGAGCGAACCU